GAGUUACCACUUCUUCCUAUAUUCACCACUGAGCAUGUGGGGCUACACAGCGAUGACAUGUGCGAGGCGCUCAUCGUAGCUUUUUCUUGGCACGGUGCGGCUACGGGCGAUGGGUAUGGUGCCGCUACGACUACGGUGGUUAGGUAUCGUGGCACCGCUGGGCUAUAGUGGGUAGGUAUGGUGGAUUGUUAUUAAUUAUUAU
rnacentral:lncRNA from 1 species